GACGAACGCUGGCGGCGUGCCUAAUACAUGCAAGUCGAACGCAGUGGGGACGGGUGAGUAACACGUGGGUAACCUCCCAUCAGAGGGGAUAACACGUGGAAACAGGUGCUAACCCGAUACGGCAGGAGGGACCCGCGGUGCAUUAGCUAGUUGGUGAGGUAACGGCUCACCAAGGCCACGAUGCAUAGCCGGCCUCAGAGGGUGACCGGCCACACUGGGACGGAGACACGGCCCAGACUCCUACGGGAGGCAGCAGUAGGGAAUCUUCGGCAAUGGACGAAAGCCUGACCCAGCAACGCCGCGUGAGUGAAGAAGGUUUUCGGAUCGUAAAACUCUGUUGUUAGAGAAGCGGUAUCUACCCAGAAAGCCACGGCUAACUACGUGCCAGCCGCCGCGGUAAUAC
rnacentral:rRNA from 1 species